CUGGUUAUUCUGAGUAAGGCUCUGUCCAUCUCGAGACUGGUUGUACGUUCUUUUGGUUCGCUGUCUGCCUUGGGCUUCCAGGGAUCUUCCACUGUCACAGCUCGUUCAUUUCAAACUUCUGGAUUGAGUGGUCGUAUUACUGGGGAUAACUUGCCUCAUGCAGAAUGUUUUAGCGUUUCCAAGGGUGGCCCAUCUUUCCUUAGUUUUCGGAGGUUUUCAACUACAAUUUUGGCUCCUGAUCCGAACAGUGGUGCUUUUCCAUCAGAUUUACUGUCUUCAAAGACCAUAAUAACACCAGAGCGUACUAUUGGCACCAUGUUCAACCCCACUACUCCACUACUAGCCCACUAUCAAUGACCACACCAUCCACAAACAACCACCAUCUAAAAAGGGGGAACUUUCCCUUGCAGUGCGGCGUACGCAUGUUUACCCCUCUGCCUAUAUAAUUAAUAAUAUAAGCUUUUUGCUGGGGGAGCAUGAACUCCAAUCAUACUCAUAUGAGCGAGUUAGAGAAACUCGAAUGCGAGGGAUUCAGACCCUACUGUGUGUUUCCACACCCCUUGGAGUUGUCGAACUGGGGUCUUCAGAGAUGAUCGGUCUGAAGACUGGGGCCACUCGAAGGGUGCUGGCCAGCCACGAGUUUAGCACCAAGUCUUUGAGAGACUUCGUGGUGAAAAC